UUGAUUCCCUCCAUGGUGCAGUAAUAGAACAUCUGUAGACAGGUGGAGGUAGUGUAGAGGAUGCAGUGGUCACUUCUCUCACUACAUAUCUGGGUUGAUUCCCUCCAUGGUGCAGUACUAGAACAUCUGUAGACAGGUGGAGGUAGUGUAGAGGAUACAGUGGUCACUUCUCUCACCACAGACCUGGGUUGAUUCCCUCCAUGGUGUAGUACUAGAACAUCUGUAGACAGGUGGAGGUAGUGUAGAGGAUACAAUGGUCACUUCUCUCACCACAGACCUUGGUUGAUUCCCUCCAUGGUGUAGUACUAGAACAUCUGUUGACAGGUGGAGGUAGUGUAGAGGAUGCAGUUGUCACUUCUCUCACUACAUAUCUGGGUUGAUUCCCUCCAUGGUGCAGUAAUAGAACAUCUGUAGACAGGUAGAGGUACAUCAUCUGCUAUCAUUGUUUUCUGUGUUUCUGUUGAAGAUAUAAGUUGAAUAAUUUCAGUUACCAUUUUUAAUCUUGUAAGAUAUAUAUUCAGUUGUGAAAUCUUGCAUAUUUUCUAUAAUGUUUCGUAUUUAUCCUGUUAUGUUUUUUGAUUUUUUGUUACUUCAGGAAUAAAAUGUUAAUUACCCUU